rnacentral:rRNA from 1 species
UAGAGUUUGAUCAUGGCUCAGGAUGAACGCUAGCGGCAGGCUUAACACAUGCAAGUCGAGGGGCAUCGGGAGGGAAGCUUGCUUUCCUUGCUGGCGACCGGCGCACGGGUGAGUAACACGUAUGCAACCUGCCCUCUUCAGGGGGACAACCUUCCGAAAGGGAGGCUAAUCCCGCGUAUAUCGGUUUCGGGCAUCCGAGAUCGAGGAAAGAUUCAUCGGAAGAGGAUGGGCAUGCGGCGCAUUAGCUUGACGGCGGGGUAACGGCCCACCGUGGCGACGAUGCGUAGGGGUUCUGAGAGGAAGGUCCCCCACACUGGUACUGAGACACGGACCAGACUCCUACGGGAGGCAGCAGUGAGGAAUAUUGGUCAAUGGGCGCGAGCCUGAACCAGCCAAGUCGCGUGAGGGAUGACGGUCCUACGGAUUGUAAACCUCUUUUGCCGGGGAGCAAGCGUGCGUUCGUGAACGCGCGUCGAGAGUACCCGGAGAAAAAGCAUCGGCUAACUCCGUGCCAGCAGCCGCGGUAAUACGGAGGAUGCGAGCGUUAUCCGGAUUUAUUGGGUUUAAAGGGUGCGCAGGCGGAAGAUCAAGUCAGCGGUAAAAUUGAGAGGCUCAACCUCUUCGAGCCGUUGAAACUGGUUUUCUUGAGUGAGCGAGAAGUAUGCGGAAUGCGUGGUGUAGCGGUGAAAUGCAUAGAUAUCACGCAGAACUCCGAUUGCGAAGGCAGCAUACCGGCGCUCAACUGACGCUCAUGCACGAAAGUGUGGGUAUCGAACAGGAUUAGAUACCCUGGUAGUCCACACAGUAAACGAUGAAUACUAAUUGUUCGGGGAGAAUGAUCCCUGAGUGAUACAGCGAAAGCGUUAAGUAUUCCACCUGGGGAGUACGCCGGCAACGGUGAAACUCAAAGGAAUUGACGGGGGCCCGCACAAGCGGAGGAACAUGUGGUUUAAUUCGAUGAUACGCGAGGAACCUUACCCGGGCUCAAACGACACAGGAAUACUUUUGAAAGGAGGUAGCUCUACGGAGUCUGUGUCGAGGUGCUGCAUGGUUGUCGUCAGCUCGUGCCGUGAGGUGUCGGCUUAAGUGCCAUAACGAGCGCAACCCCCAUCGCCAGUUACCAGCAAGUCAAGUUGGGGACUCUGGCGAGACUGCCGGCGCAAGCUGUGAGGAAGGCGGGGAUGACGUCAAAUCAGCACGGCCCUUACGUCCGGGGCGACACACGUGUUACAAUGGCAGGUACAGAGAGAAGCAAUGCGGCGACGCAAAGCGGAACUUGAAAGCCUGUCUCAGUUCGGAUUGGAGUCUGCAACUCGACUCCAUGAAGCUGGAUUCGCUAGUAAUCGCGCAUCAGCCAUGGCGCGGUGAAUACGUUCCCGGGCCUUGUACACACCGCCCGUCAAGCCAUGGAAGCCGGGAGUGCCUGAAGUGUGCAACCGCAAGGAGCGCCCUAAGGUAAAACUGGUGACUGGGGCUAAGUCGUAACAAGGUAACCGUAA